GAUGAACGCUGGCGGCGUGCCUAAUACAUGCAAGUCGAGCGAAUGGAUUAAGAGCUUGCUCUUAUGAAGUUAGCGGCGGACGGGUGAGUAACACGUGGGUAACCUGCCCAUAAGACUGGGAUAACUCCGGGAAACCGGGGCUAAUACCGGAUAACAUUUUGAACCGCAUGGUUCGAAAUUGAAAGGCGGCUUCGGCUGUCACUUAUGGAUGGACCCGCGUCGCAUUAGCUAGUUGGUGAGGUAACGGCUCACCAAGGUAACGAUGCGUAGCCGACCUGAGAGGGUGAUCGGCCACACUGGGACUGGGACACGGCCCAGACUCCUACGGGAGGCAGCAGUAGGGAAUCUUCCGCAAUGGACGAAAGUCUGACGGAGCAACGCCGCGUGAGUGAUGAAGGCUUUCGGGUCGUAAAACUCUGUUGUUAGGGAAGAACAAGUGCUAGUUGAAUAAGCUGGCACCUUGACGGUACCUAACCAGAAAGCCACGGCUAACUACGUGCCAGCCGCCGCUGUAA
rnacentral:rRNA from 1 species